rnacentral:misc_RNA from 1 species
UAGAAAUGAAAGUUAAGUUCAUAACAAAAUAGCAAAAUUAUUAACUUGAUCAGGAGCAUGUUUUUGUUUGCAUACACCAAAUAAUUCCUGAGCGUGAGAGAUGAAACACAGAGCAAUCUUCUGGGGCCACCUGUGAGGCAAGGUUGGCUCCAUGGCCUUUGUCUCAUGGCUAAGGGUCAUGAACCAGCCAUAUUAUCCUGAUAGCAAGGUCGUUA